GUUAGAAGCUAUGGUAAAGAAUCGAUAGUGCGAUAAUCGAACAAUCGCAUUCGAUACGAUAUUCGAUAUUCACCAGCUGUAGAUUCCAUCAUGGCGGCCAUGCAUGCAUUUUCCCGCGUAAACACGGCCGGUGCCCAAAUUCCGGAUCGCUCGCUCAAUUAAUUUUAAUUUAUUUAAUUAUUAGCCGUUGAAACUGUCAUCUUCUUUGCUCAUUUAGAAGUAUUUCAUCAUUUCGAGACGAAGAUUUAACCACAGGGCCAACGAAAAUCAAGAAGAAGCCAUGGGAAGUGCACAGAAACCGAAGUUCCGAGUGGAUAUUUACAGGAGGAACUGUUGGAAGAUGGCUCGGAACAUGCGGUCAUGCUGUGCACGUGGCGAUGUUGCUCUUGAGACAUCCCGCAACCGAAUUCCAAUGAGCAACCGAACUGGGUGGAAAUCUAUGAAAAGACUGUUGAAGUAUUAGCCCCUGAAGUGAACAAGCUGCUUAAUUUCAUGUAUUUUCAGGUGAGCAUUCUAAUUUUGUUAAUUUUCGACAUUUGGUAGGUAAUUGAAGUGGUGUAUUUUAGGUGAAAACUUGUAUCACAUUCUCUACCAAUGUGUCUAAGAAAUGUAACUGAUCUUGCUGGGCCAGAAAAACAUGCAGGAAAAAGGGGAUAUUUGAAUGCUUCAAACCACAAUUUCCACUGUUCGCCACAAUGCUAGAUGAACUUAGUUUAGGUUACCCCCCUUAUAAGUCCUCUGCAGCCUGAUUGUUGAAAUUUUUUGUUUGUCGGGACGACAUAGAUGACAUAGGUUAAAAGGCGGAGCGUGAUUGGUCGGCUAUGUCUUAUCGUUGCUUUGUCGUGCCUUUGUCGGGUGGGAUGAUCGACAUACUGUCGGAGACUUAAAAGGUUCCCUUAGCUUGUCGAGAGGUCAACCCGACAUAGACCCGACAAAGCAGCGAUAAGACAUAGCCGACCAAUCACGCUUCGCCUUUUAACCUAUGUCAUCUAUGUCGUCCCGACAAACUAAGAAUUUCAACAAUCAGGCUGCUGCUUGUUAAUUUGAUGUUAAAACUGGUGAUGGUGCCUAUAUUGCACAAAUGUGUGAUUUAUUUAUUUACUUAUUUGUUUGUUUAGUAUGAAUUGGUGCAAUUCAAAAACUAAAAAUUGUUAUAGUGCAUGCAAAAUAUCGAUCACCGUGCCUGAAAUUACCUGACGCAUUUAGCAAGAAAACGGUCUUGGUUGUGGACUUGUCAAAGGUCUUAGUCUUUUUGCUAUUCAUUCAGUUUUUCCGUCUAUUGAACCUCCAUCUUAUUUUUGCUAAUAUUCAUCGGAAAAUUUCAUUUUUUCUUGUUAGAUAUAUGC
rnacentral:lncRNA from 1 species